rnacentral:rRNA from 1 species
CAAACGUAAAUAGAAAAGAUGUUUGUGAAAAUAAAAAUGGUAACAAGUUAGUUAGUAGUGACCCGGCGUUGUUAAAGUAACAAUUCAACCAGGCUUCCGCAGGUGAACCAUACGAAGGGUCCUUUCUAAAUUUUAGCCGUUUUCUUAUGGAAUAAAAGUUCUUUGUUAGGGCCUCGGCCUCUAACAAAGUAUACCUAUUUUAUAGGUUUUAAUCGUUACUAAAUAUCCUAAAAAAUUAAUAAAUUUUCAACGAUGGAUAUCUAGGCUCCAAUAACGAUGAAGAACGCAGCGAAGUGCGAUAAGCAAUGCGAAUUGCAGAACCGCGAGUCAUCAGAUUUUUGAACGCAAGUGGCGGCAGCUUAGGUUGUCAUGGUUGUUUCAGUGUGUCCGGUUAAUUACAUCAUGGAAUAUAAUGUGAUUGAAGAUAUUCUCUCACAAAAUAUGGAGUAGUGUCAAUGAAGACUCCAAACGAAUUAGUCACUAAAUGGUGAUAAUCGUAUGAGGAUCAGAAUUGGUGAAUCACUGUCAAAAACAUAUUUCCAUUAUGCACUUGAAUCAGCAAGAUACCCAGUUU